CGUACGGUAAUUAGGUAACAAGCCAAUUUGACAUUUACUCAGUACAUUGUUUUCAUUGAGGAAAUGUACAAGUCUGCUGUUAAUGAUAAUGUAGAGGAUUUUCCCAAGGUUGCUGUUGACGCAUAUCCCACGGUAGUUACUGGGGUCAAAUUUCUCUCCACUUCUGUGGAUCAGGGUGAUCAGUCCUUGGUUCCAAAUAUUGGAGAAGAUGCCAGAGCUAAGGAUGAUGUUAAAGAGUAUAAGUAUAGCCAAUUGUAAUUUUGGGUCUGUAUAUUUUAUCAUUUCAUUUAGGAUACCAUCAACCCCACAGGCGUUUUUGGGUUGGAGGGUUUGUAUUUUGUAGUGUAGUUCAUUAAAUGUAAUUAGAGAAUCCAGUGGGUUCCUGUAGUCUUUAAUAGUUUAUUGUAAGAUUUGUAUUUGAUCAUGUAUAUGUUACUGCUGUUUGAUCUUUGUCAUAGAGCCAAAAAUAUUGGCGAAGUGGUUUUUCCAGACAUCUCCGUUUUGGAUAGAUAACUCUUUGUGUUGUUUGUUUGUUUUGAGUUUUCCCAGAAGUGGUUGGAGUCUAUGGAUUCUUCAAUUACAUUGAGCUGAUUUCUGACAUGCUGUUCCUUCUUUUUCCGUAGUGUGUUUCUGUAUCGUUUUAGUGAUUCACCAUAGUGAAGGCGUAGGCUCAGGUUUUCUGGGUCUCUAUGUUUUUGUUUGGACAGGUUUCUCCAUUUCUUCCUUAGGUUUUUUGCAUUCUUCAUCAAACCAUUUGUCAUUGUUGUUAAUUUUCUUUGGUUGUCUGCUUGACAUUGAUAGAUUUGAUGGGGAAGCUGAGAGGUCAAAUAUACUGUUUAGGUUUUCGACUGCCAUGUUUACACCUUCACUAUUACAAUGGAACGUUUUACCCAGGAAAUUGUCUAGGAGGGAUUGAAUUUGUUGUUGCCUAAUUGUUUUUUGGUAGAUUUCCAAACUACUUUCCUUCCAUCUAUCAGCAUUUCUUAAUGUUACUCAGUUCCUUUGGCUUUGAUGCCUCAUGAUUGGGUUUUGCUCUGUUCAAGUAGACUGAUUUUGUUGUGGUCUGAUAGUUGUCAGUGGGCUGACUGUUAACUGUGGUCUGAUAGAGUUGUCAGUGGGCUGACUGUUAACUGUGGUCUGAUAGGGGUGUCAGUGGGCUGACUGUUAACUGUGGUCUGAUAGAGUUGUCAGUGGGCUGACUGUUAACUGUGAUCUGAUAGAGGUGUCAGUGGGCUGACUGUUAACUGUGGUCUGAUAGGGGUGUCAGUGGGCUGACUGUUAACUGUGAUCUGAUAGGGGUGUCAGUGGGCUGACUGUUAACUGUGGUCUGAUAGAGGUGUCAGUGGGCUGACUGUUAACUGUGAUCUGAUAGGGGUGUCAGUGGGCUGACUGUUAACUGUGGUCUGAUAGAGGUGUCAGUGGGCUGACUGUUAACUGUGGUCUGAUAGAGUUGUCAGUGGGCUGACUGUUAACUGUGGUCUGAUAGAGUUGUCAGUGGGCUGACUGUUAACUGUGGUCUGAUAGGGGUGUCAGUGGGCUGACUGUUAACUGUGAUCUGAUAGGGGUGUCAGUGGGCUGACUGUUAACUGUGGUCUGAUAGAGGUGUCAGUGGGCUGACUGUUAACUGUGGUCUGAUAGAGUUGUCAGUGGGCUGACUGUUAACUGUGGUCUGAUAGAGUUGUCAGUGGGCUGACUGUUAACUGUGGUCUGAUAGGGGUGUCAGUGGGCUGACUGUUAACUGUGGUCUGAUAGGGGUGUCAGUGGGCUGACUGUUAACUGUGAUCUGAUAGGGGUGUCAGUGGGCUGACUGUUAACUGUGGUCUGAUAGGGGUGUCAGUGGGCUGACUGUUAACUGUGAUCUGAUAGGGGUGUCAGUGGGCUGACUGUUAACUGUGGUCUGAUAGAGUUGUCAGUGGGCUGACUGUUAACUGUGGUCUGAUAGAGUUGUCAGUGGGCUGACUGUUAACUGUGGUCUGAUAGGGGUGUCAGUGGGCUGACUGUUAACUGUGAUCUGAUAGAGGUGUCAGUGGGCUGACUGUUAACUGUGGUCUGAUAGAGGUGUCAGUGGGCUGACUGCUAACUGUGAUCUGAUAGGGGUGUCAGUGGGCUGACUGUUAACUGUGAUCUGAUAGAGUUGUCAGUGGGCUGACUGUUAACUGUG